UACAGAGGGUGCGAGCGUUAAUCGGAAUUACUGGGCGUAAAGCGCUCGCAGGUGGUUCGAUGCGUCGUGCGUGAAAGACCCCGGCUCAACUGGGGGGUGUCGUGCGAUACGGUCGGACUGGAGGCCAGUAGGGGGAUGCGGAAUUCCGGGUGUAGUGGUGGAAUGCGUAGAGAUCCGGAGGAACACCAGCGGCGAAGGCGGCAUCCUGGACUGGUCCUGACACUCAUGAGCGAAAGCGUGGGGAGCGAUCCGG
rnacentral:rRNA from 1 species